AUUGAACGCUGGCGGAAUGCUUUACACAUGCAAGUCGAGCGGCAGCGCGGGGCAACCUGGCGGCGAGCGGCGAACGGGUGAGUAACAUAUCGGAACGUACCCAGUGGUGGGGGAUAACACAUCGAAAGAUGUGCUAAUACCGCAUACGACCUGAGGGUGAAAGGGGGGGAUCGCAAGACCUCUCGCCGUUGGAGCGGCCGAUAUCAGAUUAGCUAGUUGGUGGGGUAAAGGCCCACCAAGGCGACGAUCUGUAGCUGGUCUGAGAGGACGACCAGCCACACUGGAACUGAGACACGGUCCAGACUCCUACGGGAGGCAGCAGUGGGGAAUUUUGGACAAUGGGCGCAAGCCUGAUCCAGCAAUGCCGCGUGCAGGAUGAAGGCCUUCGGGUUGUAAACUGCUUUUGUACGGAACGAAACGGCCCUUUCUAAUACAGGGGGCUAAUGACGGUACCGUAAGAAUAAGCACCGGCUAACUACGUGCCAGCCGCCGCAGUAAAAC
rnacentral:rRNA from 1 species